CCUACGGGUGGCAGCAGUGGGGAAUAUUGCACAAUGGGGGCAACCCUGAUGCAGCGAUGCCGCGUGAGUGAAGAAGUCCUUCGUUAUGUAAAGCUCUAUCAGCAGGGAAGAAAAUGACGGUACGUGAGUACGACGCCCCGUCUAACACCGUGCCAGCAGCCGCGGUACGACGUGGGGGGCAAGCGUUAUCCGGAUUUACUGGGUGUAAAGGGAGCGUAGGGGGCUGUGCAAGUCUGGGGUGAAAGGCGGGGGCUCAACCCCCGGUCUGCUCUGGAAACUGUACGGCUGGAGUGCAGGUGAGGUAGGUGGAAUGCCUGGUGUAGCGGUGAAAUGCGUAGAUAUUAGGAAGAACACCAGUGGCGAAGGCGGCUUACUGGACUGUGACUGACGUUGAGGCUCGAAAGCGUGGGGAGCAAACAGGAUUAGAUACCCUAGUAGUC
rnacentral:rRNA from 1 species